GACGAACGCUGGCGGCGUGCUUAACACAUGCAAGUCGAACGGAAAGGCCCCUUUGGGGGUACUCGAGUGGCGAACGGGUGCGUAACACGUGAGUAACCUGCCCUUGACUUCGGGAUAACUUCAGGAAACUGGGGCUAAUACCGGAUAGGAAUCCUUGCUGCAUGGUGGGGGUUGGAAAGCUUCGGCGGUUUUGGAUGGACUCGCGGCUUAUCAGCUUGUUGGUGGGGUAGUGGCUUACCAAGGCUUUGACGGGUAGCCGGCCUGAGGGUGCGACCGGCCACAUUGGGACUGAGAUACGGCCCAGACUCCUACGGGAGGCAGCAGUGGGGAAUAUUGAACAAUGGGCGGAAGCCUGAUGCAGCAACGCCGCGUGCGGGAUGACGGCCUUCGGGUUGUAAAACGCUUUCAGCAGGGGCGAAGCUUGUGGUGACGGUACCUGAAGAAGAAGCACCGGCUAACUACGUG
rnacentral:rRNA from 1 species